rnacentral:rRNA from 1 species
AUUGAACGCUGGCGGCAGGCCUAACACAUGCAAGUCGAGCGAGCGGCGGACGGGUGAGUAAUGCCUGGGAAUUGCCCAGUCGAGGGGGAGAACAGAUGGAAACGACUGGUAAUACCGCAUACGAUUGGAUUGCCAGGGUGGGAUUAGCUAGUGGGUGAGGUAAUGGCUCACUAAGGCGACGAUCCCUAGCUGUUCGGAGAGCAUGAUCGGCCACACGGGAACGGAGACACGGUCAAGACUCUUACGGAAGGCAGAAGUGGGGAAUAUUGGACAAUGGGGGAAACCCGGAUGCAGCCAUGCCGCGUGUGUGAAGAAGGCCUUCGGGUUGUAAAGCACUUUCAGCGAGGAGACGUUACUCGCAGAAGAAGCACCGGCUAACUCCGUGCCAGCAGCCGCGGUAAUUC